UUUCCGUAGGUGAACCUGCAGAAGGAUC
rnacentral:rRNA from 1 species